GUUCCCGGUCGCCCCGGCGGGCGGGGCUGGGUUCCGGGUCCAGCGUCGCCGCGGUGGCGGGAGCUUGUGUUCAGCGUCGCCGCGGCAGCG
rnacentral:tRNA from 1 species